AAUAAUAAAGAUAAUAGGAAUAUAACGAUGCCGGGGAUAACGAGUCAUCCCCUAAUGAACACAGGGCACUGGGAGUUUCAAAGCCCUUUUAUCCAACCCGACUGGGCUCAUUUGUAUCUACUGGCCACAAUAGACUACUGUGAAUCCCCCUACCCCUCCUCGUCUCUCAGCAAAGUCUACAAAUUCCACUCGUCUUUUUUUCUCCUUCGCUCUCCCUCCUUCCACUUUAACCUCUCCCCAUCGCUGCUGGAGCGACAGGGCUGUCAAAGGUUGUCUGGCCUCGCUGACCACAACAAGCAAGUUAAUCUGCCCCGGCGCUGGGUCCGACUCGUCCCAGGGUACGUUUUUUUUUCUUUUUUUCUUCUUCUGUGCGCUUUAAUUGCUGCCGCUGCGUGUCAGAGCUCAGGAGCGGAGUGCGAUGCUCCGCACACUCGGUAAACUAGAAUGAACUAGAGGUCUGACAGAAACGGUGCAACACUUUUUGUUCCUUUUUUUCAACGCCUUCACUCAACCUUCCUUAACUAGAUGACACGAGCCGAAGCUGGCAAAAUAUUGGUUUACUUAUGGCAAGGGCUGACUCAUCCGUGCACUGCAGAAAAGUUGAAUUACAGUCAGCAGAUGAAUAGUUUUUUGUGAACAAAAUAUUUACUCCGCAAAUGGAUAUUUAUUUUCCUGAAGACAAACUAAUGUUAAACACUGAACAAGAACAAAUAAGCACAGCGCCGGCAGAACAAUAUUUCAGAACUGGCAUACUGAACUGAGACGACAAGAGACUUGGAAGAGAAAAAAACAAGGGGACAUGAGUGACAAGGCUCCUACAGAGAGGACUGACAUUGACAACAGACACAAAAACAAACCAUCCACUAUUUUAAAAUCCACUCAAUGUGAAGUUGAAGAAUGGAGUAAAAAAAAAAAUGUUUUUGUGUCUUUUUUGAAGGAUCUAAAGAAGAGGUACGUUUUUUUAAAAGAACAAAUGGGAAAGAACGCGGAAGAAAAAAACAGCUUCGGUUGCUGCCAACUUACCAUCCACCAAGUCCUGGCUGAGAUGUCGUAGCAGAGCUGCCAUUUGAUGGAGCCUUCCGUGGUUUUGCCUGCCAUUACGCUGUCAGCAAGCUUCAUCUGAUGCUGGUGCACUCACCGGAGAUAAGAUAACUAAUUGAGAAAACAUUUGCACUGGCAUGUUGGGCAACAUGUAGCCCGCUCCAUACCAUAUGGAAUCAUGGGUAAAAAAAAAAAAAAAAAUCCUUGACAAUGAACCAAUCUCAAGCAGACCCCGUGGCAAGGUGAGCGGCAGUCAUCUGCUCACAGAGCGCGCAGUCUUUAAAAAAAAAACACACACCAGAAUGAUGAGCUUUUUUUCCACAUCACCGAGUUCUUGGGGUCAUUUCUUUCUCCCUCUGUAAUUAGGGCUUGUUCUUCAUUAUCACCACCCCACCACUAGCCCUGUUGACUUGGGUCUGCACAAGUUCUGAUUGUUUUCCUGACUUUCUCAUCUUUUUUUUUUUUUUUUUUGAGGAGUGGAGAGAUUUAAUAGGACCGAGUCAGGUAGAGAGAGAGAGUGAGGGCAGUGGGCUGAAGCGCUACAGGCUAUUAGCCUGAAAUUUCUGCCGGACAGAUGGAACUGCUUAAAGACUAUCAUGCGAUGUUUUGUUUUGCCCCCCCCCCCCCCCCUCUUUUCCCUCUCCUGGCAAAUGUCUAUCUUUUGGCAUAAAUACCUCCAGACAAUAGGAUCCUCUAAAGCCCAUAAAAAUGGACAUGGGGGUGCUACAUUUUACAGGCUGCCUUACUUUACACUGCUUAUAUUAAUUGAUCUAGACAGAGUCCGGACAUUAUGUGGAGGAAUUCAAGGCUGCGUGUAGCAAUGCUGUCCAGAAGACACUUCACACCUUUAAAAAAUGGAUACUCGUUGCGUGCAUUGAGCAGGGCUGGAGGGCCAUGAGAGGUGGUGCCCGGCCGGUGCUCUCUGAAGCUCAGGUUCCUCAUCAGGGGGAAUACCUGAACCGGGGGAGGGAGAAGGAGACAGAGCGUCCAUCAAACAGUUCUCCCAUUGUAGCAUAUAGCAGCUAUGGAAUUCGAUUCCGCCAGAGAUAUGGAGAGCGCUUUGGGGAGGGGAACAGAAGUACACAGGUACACUGAAGACCAAAGACUGCACUGAGUGGUUUUGGAGGGAGGUAAUCCUCAUUUCACCUUUUGACAAAGUGACUACUUAAAAAAAAAAAACUUUCUAGCACACUAUGUUCACCAAUAAGUUAAGAAAUGAGAUGUUCCCGACCUUUCUCAGAAUGGCUGAGAUGUACGGCUAGAAUGGUGACGCAAAAAACGAUAAGCAUGGGGAUUCUGAUAUAACCUUACAAAUAUGGAUUCUUUAUUAAAAUUAUCUUAUUAAAAUAAAUGUAGCAUCUCCGAUGAAGAUAUCACGACAAUGAAGUGAGGCAAUAUAUUACAAUGCAUCUCAAUGUUAAAUGAGCAACAUGCUAUUUCCUUGAACUUUUGAUUUCAGGGACCAUUUUCUCUAAAUGAUUCCUUUUCACCAUAAAUUAGUAAUGUUUUAUUUUGUUCUGUAAUGAUCAGUCCAGGUCAUUUCUGGAUAUCAAUGCAAGCUGUAUUAUUGAGUUAAAAGUCAAGAGGUUAAGAUUUCCUUGAUGAAUAUAAUCACAAGUAAAUGAAUACCGCCUAUUCUCGUUAUGCAUAGCUGACCACGGUUGGCAAUGUAAGUCAUUUUGCUGUUACAUUUAGUGGGGAUGAUUGUUAGCAAAGACCAGAGCUGUGUGAAGUUCAGAUUGGUUACUUGUUGUGUGUGUGUGUGUGUGUGUGUGUGUGUGUGUGUGUGUGUGUGUGUGUGUGUGUGUGUGUGUGUGUGAGAGGGGAUGGAAGCCGCGUCACGCGGCCAGCGAGGGGCUGUUCACUGUACACACCAGGUCAGCAGCGGCCAGACAGCCUCUACAGUCUACACCAUGAUCACUUGCGACGCAAAUUGUAAGGCUUCAUUACAACCCUUUGCACUUUGGGUUAAAGUUUGACAGACGAAUUAGUUUAGGACACAUACCCGCACAGACAAAACUCUCAGGUCUGAAUCAUAUACGAUCAUUUAAUUGAGCAAAAAUGUUGAUAUUUCCGCCUCAAAAGCACAUUUGAAAAAUAAAAAUAUGAAAUAUGUAGAUUUGAUAAAAGUUGAAUAAUAAGAAUACAAUCACAUGAGGUUGCUACUGAGUAUUGUCACUGAGGAGAAUAGAUGUGAACUGUUAUCACGUUGUAUGAUAUGGUACUGUCACGUGUUUAGCUGACGUUAGGGCGGGUGUAGCGAAAUGCUUGUGCUUCUAGCUCCAACAGCGCAGUAAUAUCUAAUAAGUAAUAUCUAAUAAGUAAUAUCUAACAAUACACACAAUCUAAAGUAAAGGAAUGGAAUUAAGAAUAUAUAUAUUUGGCACGAGCAAUGUCAGAGUGGCAUAGACUUAGAUACAGUAGAAUAAGAUAGAAUACUGUAUAUAUAUAUAUAUUUAUAAUAUGAGAUGAGUAAUGCAACAUAUGUAAACAUUAUUAAAGUGAUUAGUGUUCCAUUAUUAAAGUUACCAAUGAUUUUAAGUUUAUGUAUAUAGGGCAGCAGCCUCUAAUGUGCUAGUGAUGGCUAUUUAACAGCCUGAUGGCCUUGAAAUAGAAGCCGUUUUUCAGUCUCUCGGUCCCAGCUUUGAUGCACCUGUACUGACCUUGCCUUCCGAAUGAUCGCGGGGUGAACAGGCAGUGGCUCGGGUGGUUGUUGUCCUUGAUGAUCUUUUUGGCCUUCCUGUGACAUUGGGUGCUGUAGGUGUCCUGGAGGGCAGGUGGCUUGCCCCCGAUGAUGCGUUGGGAGAGCCUUGCAAGCUAAUCACUUAGAACAUUUGAGGAUACGAAAACAGAGCUAAAGAGUUCAAGCAGAAAGCCAAUUCUGCCAGCUGACCAGUAGAAGGCAGUGUUGCACUGAUGGGCUUUUACUGUCAGAGUACUUCACAGUUCGAUGAAGUUUUUACAAGUUAAGAUUGACAAUCACAUUCUCUGUUCUAUUUACAUACUAUAAAAAAAACUUUUAAUUCUCUCUUGCUUACCUUUUUCAGAGUAUGUAAUGUCAUCAACAGUGCAGUUUACUGUCAGAAGUCCUACACACAUUCAUUUCUGCAAUAAAAAAAUGACAGAG